UACGUAGGGUGCAAGCGUUGUCCGGAAUUAUUGGGCGUAAAGAGCUCGUAGGCGGUCUGUCGCGUCUGCUGUGAAAACUCGGGGCUUAACCCCGGGCCUGCAGUGGGUACGGGUAGACUAGAGUGCGGUAGGGGAGACUGGAAUUCCUGGUGUAGCGGUGAAAUGCGCAGAUAUCAGGAGGAACACCGGUGGCGAAGGCGGGUCUCUGGGCCGUAACUGACGCUGAGGAGCGAAAGCGUGGGGAGCGAACAGG
rnacentral:rRNA from 1 species